CGAAAUGCGAUACGUAGUGUGAAUUGCAGAAUUCCGUGAAUCAUCAAAUCUUUGAACGCAUAUUGCGCUCGAGGCCUCGGCCGAGAGCAUGUCUGCCUCAGCGUCGAUUUAAUAUCGUUUCCAUACUCCCAUGGGAGCAUGAAGACGGAUCUGACAGUCCCAGCCUAGAUCAGUUUACUGAUCGUUCCGGCUGGGUCUGUUGAAGCGAAGAAGCUAGCAUAAGGACCCUCAUGGGCCGCAACUAGGUAGGCUGCUUACGCAUGCUCAAUAGUUGUUGGCUUGGACUUUGUGCUCGGCUCACAAACAGGAACCUUUCUAUUACUUCGACCUGAGCUCAGGCAAGAACACCCGCUGAACUUAAGC
rnacentral:misc_RNA from 1 species